rnacentral:lncRNA from 1 species
AGAAUCCUGGGGAGCCGGGGCACCGGCCAGAGAGGCAAGAGAGUGGAGCCGAGGCUCAGGGACUGGGGAGCGCAGCUGCAAAGAGAGCGGGUGGGAAAAAGCCGAGGGCAAGAAACUGAGACGUGGGUGGCGGGGGAGGGGAAAGAAACGGGGGCCCGUGGAGAGGGAACCCGAAGGAAGGAGGGAAAGCAUCCCAAGCAGAAAAGACCGGCGGGGGUCCGGAGAGGGAAAAGCCUGAGGGGACGCGGAGAGGGGAAGACGUGGGGGCCUGGUCCUGGAGAGGCAGGGUCGGGCGACACGGGCCGCUCACCUGCGAGGGGGGGCGGCGGCUCCUCGCACUCGGGGCUCAUCGGGGCGCCCCCCCCGCCCCGCCGCCGGCGGCUCCGGCCCCUGCUGCGGGGCCCGGUCAGUAGGGGCGGGGGCGGCGUCGGGGACUUGCGCAGGCGCCGGGGCUCGCGGGGUCCGCGCAGGCGCCCGCGGGUCGUGGGGUCCUCGGGCGCCGGGUCCUGCAGAGUUGAGGGGGUCAGCGCCGGGUGGGGUUGCCGGCGGGCGGGAGAUGUCACGAGUCCGCGUAGGCGCCUCCGGGGUCCGCAGGCGAGGUGGGCGCGCCGGCCAAGGCGGGUUGCGGACGAGCCCGGUCGCGAGGCCCGCGCAGGCGCCUCAGCCGGGAAGACGGGGGAAGUUGCCUCGGUUUCCACAGUCCAACCCAGCGCCCCGCGGGAGGGGAAGACGUCCUCCUCCGCGGUCCAAACGGGCCGCAGAGCCGAGCAGCGACCGACGAAAGCCGAGGCCUACUUCCUCAACCGCCUCUUCCCCAAAGCCGCUCAGUCUCCGGGCUCUGCGGCCCGCCUCAGGGACUUCGCCGCCCGGCUCCCUCCGCCACUAUCCCACAAUGCCCCUAGCGCAAGACGACGCAGGAAGCCCCGCCCUCCCGCUGCUGUCUCGGUGCGCAGGUGCGGGAGGGGCCGCACGCCUGGGCGGUGCAGUGCGCGUGCGCCCGCCUGCUUCCGACCCCGCCCACUCCUGAAACCCACCGUCGUAGACGCGCUUGCGCCCGUUGGUGCCAACGGUCUGGCCUGGAAUAAACCCAGACAGCGCAAUGAGCCGGAGCUGCGCACCGGCUCCGUUCCAAGUCCCCGUGAAGAUUCCGCUCCAGGAUUUCCCUUCCCACUCGCUCCGUUUGGAAAUCCGUUCGCUCUUGUCUCUAAUCGUAGUCCGGCUUUGGCUCCAGGGUCGGGCUCUUGUGAAAUCCAGACCUGGUUUACACUCCAGCCAAGCCCAGGCGCCUUAGUCCCGCCCGGCUCUCGUGCUAAG